rnacentral:rRNA from 1 species
UGAGUAACCUGCCCUUAACUCUGGGAUAAGCCUGGGAAACUGGGUCUAAUACCGGAUAUGACUCCUCAUCGCAUGGUGGGGGGUGGAAAGCUUUAUUGUGGUUUUGGAUGGACUCGCGGCCUAUCAGCUUGUUGGUGAGGUAAUAGCUUACCAAGGCGACGACGGGUAGCCGGCCUGAGAGGGUGACCGGCCACACUGGGACUGAGACACGGCCCAGACUCCUACGGGAGGCAG